rnacentral:rRNA from 1 species
UACAAGUACCCGUGAGGGAAAGUUGCAAAGAACUUUGAAGAGAGAGUUCAAGAGGGCGUGAAACCGCUUAGAAGGAAACGGAUGGACCGGACGUUAGUCUAAGGGGUUCAGCCGAAUUGCAGUAGAGCCUUUGCUGUGCAGACCGGAUAACAGGCUGUGCAGUGGAGUGUCCCUGCUGUAAUCGGUGCAUUCCCUUUAGAUGCGCGCCAAGGGCAGUGGGGGUGUCGCGCAGACCCUGAGUUGAAGCCUUGCCUCGGCGAGGUCCUAGCUCAGGUGCUCUGUGUGGUCGCCCCUACUGUCAUGACCAGAGUAUCAGCUCAAGCUCGAUACUGCUGGCAUCGGUGCUGCUCGAUCAGGUAGCCAGUCUCUGGGCUUGGUCUUGUGGUUCUGGUGUGCGGUAGGAUUCGAGAGAUACUCGGCCUUGGUGUUUAGUCUGUUACCCAUCCGACCCGUCUUGAAACACGGACCAAGGAGUCUAACAUGAGCGCGAGUUACUGGGUUGCAAAACCUAAGAGCGAAAUGAACGUAAAGGUUGCCUUUGGCAGCUGAUAUGGGAUCCAGGGCUUCGGCCUUGGCGCACCAUAGUCCCGUCUCGUCUGCAUUGUCAGUGAGGCGGAGACAGAGCGUUCAUGUUGGGACCCGAAAGAUGUUGAUCUUCAAGUGAGCAGGAUGAAGACAGACGAAAGUCUGUUGGAAGUCCGUAGCNGUUCUGACGUNCAAAUCGAUCGCCAGACUUGCUCGAAGGGGCGAAAGACUCAU